UACGGGGGGAGCAAGCGUUGUUCGGAUUUACUGGGCGUAAAGGGCGCGUAGGCGGCCAGCACAAGUCAGUUGUGAAAUCUCCGAGCUUAACUCGGAAAGGUCAACUGAUACUGUGCGGCUAGAGUGCGGAAGGGGCAACUGGAAUUCUUGGUGUAGCGGUGAAAUGCGUAGAUAUCGAGAGGAACACCUGCGGCGAAGGCGGGUUGCUGGGCUGACACUGACGCUGAGGCGCGAAAGCCAGGGGAGCGAACGGG
rnacentral:rRNA from 1 species